rnacentral:rRNA from 1 species
ACGGAAGGCAGCAGUAAGGGAUAUUGGUCAAUGGGUGGAACCCUGAACCAGCCAUGCCGCGUGAGGGAUGAAGGCCCUACGGGUCGCAGACCUCUUUUGCCGGGGGAUAACGCGCCCCACGCGUGGGGCGGUGAAGGUACCCGGAGAAUAAGCAUCGGCUAACUCCGUGCCAGCAGCCGCGGUAAUACGGAGGAUGCGAGCGUUAUCCGGAUUUAUUGGGUUUAAAGGGUGCGCAGGCGGGGCGCUAAGUCAGCGGUGAAAGGCGACGGCUCAACCGGAGCAGUGCCGUUGAUACUGGUGUCCUUGAAUGCGGUCGAGGCCGGCGGAAUGUGGCGUGUAGCGGUGAAAUGCAUAGAUAUGGCGAAGAACUCCGAUUGCGUAGGCAGCUGACCAGGCCGUAAAUGACGCUCAUGCACGAAAGUGCGGGGAUCGAACAGGAUUAGAUACCCUGGUA